UAGAAAGUAGACGUAACCCGGUAACGGACGACGGUCCGUAAACGGUAAAGUUCGGUAACUGGGGCU
rnacentral:rRNA from 1 species